CACAUUUUUUAAACUAUCUAUUUCAACUACAAAAGCCACAGAGAUCAUGACCAAAUAUAACAUAUUUCUAUAAAGAGACCUUCUUGGAUGUUCCCACUGUCUCCAAAUUCUCCUUAGCCACCUCUUUCUCUGCAACUUCAUUGCAUGCACAAGACUGAUCCAUGUUCUUCUUUCCUAGCAGUUGCCUCUCUGAAAUAGUAAACUAGUAGAACUAUGCUAUAAUAUUAUUUUAUUAUUAUAGUAUAAUGCUGUAGUAUAUUAAUACCUUAAAGUUAAUGAUCUCACAUUCUCACUCAUUAUUGCAUUUUGACAUAUUGUCCAUUUGUCCUAGUUGAUAAAACCUCAGCACAAUUCAAUAAUUCAUAUUCAUUUAAUUCUUUAAGUAUUUUGUUUUUUUAUCAUUUCUUUCUUUGUUUCUGGUUUCUUGAAUCUCAACAAUGGGUAAUUGUUUUGCUGCUGCUUCUUCACCAAAAGGUGAUUCUGCAAUGACCUCAACUUCUGGGGCUUCAAAAGCUAUCAGUAAAUCCACUACUUCUACGCUUACUUCUGGUGCAACCACCAUGACGUCUUCCAGCUGGAACAGUAGCAUUGAGAGUCUACCAACUCCGAGAUCAGAAAGUGAAAUUUUGUCGUCCUCUCAACUGAAAGCUUUUUCCUAUAAUGAAUUGAAAAAUGCAACGAGAAACUUCCGCCCUGACAGUUUACUUGGUGAAGGCGGAUUUGGUUAUGUUUUCAAAGGAUGGAUCGAUGAGCAUACACUUACUGCUACAAAACCUGGGUCUGGAAUGAUUAUUGCUGUUAAAAAGCUUAAGCCUGAAGGAUUCCAAGGCCAUAAAGAGUGGUUGGCUGAGGUGAAUUAUCUUGGACAACUACAUCAUCCAAAUCUUGUUAAACUUAUUGGACAUUGCUUGGAGGGUGACAAUCAACUUUUGGUGUAUGAAUUCAUGCCCAAGGGGAGCCUAGAAAAUCAUCUUUUCAGAAGAGGGCCUACACCACUCUCUUGGGAAAUAAGAAUAAAAGUGGCUAUUGAUGCUGCUAGAGGUCUCUCUUUUCUUCAUGAUGCUAAAGAGCAAGUCAUAUAUCGUGAUCUCAAGGCUGCUAAUAUUCUUCUAGACUCGGAGUUUAAUGCCAAGCUGUCUGAUUUCGGUUUGGCUAAGGCAGGACCAACCGGUGAUAGGACUCAUGUGUCCACUCAAGUAAUGGGUACUCAAGGCUAUGCAGCUCCAGAGUAUGUUGCUACAGGUCGGUUGACAGCAAAAAGUGAUGUAUAUGGCUUUGGGGUAGUUCUUCUUGAACUGUUAACUGGUCGUCGUGCUGUUGAUAAGUCGAAGGUUGUUGUUGAGCAAAAUCUUGUUGAUUGGGCAUUACCAUAUUUGAGUGACAAGAGGAAAUUGUUUCGGAUUAUGGACACAAAGUUGGAGGGACAAUAUCCUCAGAAAGCAGCUUUCGCUGCUGCUACCCUUGCUUUACAAUGCCUGAAUGCUGACUUUAAAUCCAGGCCAGAAAUGUCAGAAGUUGUAGCAGCUCUGGAAGAUCUCCAAUUAUCAAAGUCUGCAGCCAAAAAGCACUCCUCAAAGAAUCAGACUGGUCCUGACCCUGCCCGUAAAUCACAUUUGAGUCACAAUCGUUCUCCUCUAAAUCUGACACCUUCAGCAUCCCCAUUGCGGUCUCAUCAAUCUCCAUAUAGACGAGGUUGAUCGACAGAUAAUAUGGACCAGUAUUGAUGAACAGCAUAGUUUAACAUUGUUUGCAUACGGGGUGAAUUUUACUUGUGAAAUAGCAGAGAAACUGAAGAGCAGGUGCAAGAAAAGCAAGUUCAUCCAGAGUAUGGAGGUUAUGAAGUACUGACAUCGUCGAGAAGAAUGUUAGAAGACUUCAUAUCGCGGUGAAUGACUGGUAAGCUUGUUCCAUGCAGAUACUCUAAGCCUUUUGCAGAGCCAACAGCAAUUUUGAGUCUUGUACUCCAGUUCAGCAAUAAGCCCUUAUUUCUGAAAAAUAAGUUUAGUCAAACGGCCACAUUAUCAGUUUUCCUACCAUCCAUUCUUCCCGGCCUUGAAGUCUUUCCUGUUUUAGCCUCUUGACUGCAACAGGGUGACCGCCUUUCGGUUUUGCAGCAGUCAUGGUGGAAAGAUUUAUCCAGCCCUUGAAAACAUCGCCCGAGCCACCUUCGCCUAGCAGAUUCUUCUUGCUGAACUUCUGCGUCGCAGCCUUCAGGGUGUUGUAACUGAAGGAUGUAAUGUUGUAGACAUGAAGCUUGUUGUCUAUCAUGGCAACCUUCACGAAAUCGUGAGCUCCGUAUUUCUCAUCGUGUUUCACAGUUCCUGCAUUAGCUUCACAGCCAUGGAAUGUAGCAGUCAAUUGAAACAUGCAUUCAUGCCACCUCUAAUACUCGUAUUUACUUCCGUAUCAGAUACAUGACAUGAAAAAUAUCUUAUAUACACAACACUGACACCAGAUUAACAUGAA